rnacentral:rRNA from 1 species
GACGAACGCUGGCGGCGCGCCUAACACAUGCAAGUCGAACGGAAGCAUUUGGAGUUUACUUUAGAUGCUUUAGUGGCGGACGGGUGAGUAACACGUGAGCAACCUGCCUUUCAGAGGGGGAUAACGUUUGGAAACGAACGCUAAUACCGCAUAACAUAUACGAACGGCAUCGUUCAUAUAUCAAAGGAGCAAUCCGCUGAGAGAUGGGCUCGCGUCCGAUUAGCUAGAUGGUGAGGUAACGGCCCACCAUGGCGACGAUCGGUAGCCGGACUGAGAGGUUGACCGGCCACAUUGGGACUGAGACACGGCCCAG